rnacentral:rRNA from 1 species
UACGUAGGGGGCAAGCGUGUCCGGAUUUAUUGGGCGUAAAGCGCGUGUAGGUGGCCAAGUAGGUCCGCUGUGAAAACUUGAGGCUCAACCUCAAGCUGUCGGUGGAAACCCCUUGGCUAGAGUCCGGAAAGAGGAGAGUGGAAUUCCUGGUGUAGCGGUGAAAUGCGCAGAUAUCAGGAAGAACACCAAUGCGAAGGCAGCUCUCGUGGGACGGU